rnacentral:rRNA from 1 species
GUGAACUUACCUAUGUUGCCUCGGCGGGGAAGCCUACCCGGUACCUACCCUGUAGCUACCCGGGAGCGAGCUACCCUGUAGCUCGCUGCAGGCCUACCCGCCGGUGGACACUUAAACUCUUGUUUUUUUUAGUGAUUAUCUGAGUGUUUAUACUUAAUAAGUUAAAACUUUCAACAACGGAUCUCUUGGUUCUGGCAUCGAUGAAGAACGCAGCGAAAUGCGAUAAGUAAUGUGAAUUGCAGAAUUCAGUGAAUCAUCGAAUCUUUGAACGCACAUUGCGCCCAUUAGUAUUCUAGUGGGCAUGCCUGUUCGAGCGUCAUUUCGACCUUCAAGCCCUAGCUGCUUGGUGUUGGGAGCCUAUCUCCGGAUAGCUCCUGAAAAGCAUUGGCGGAGUCGCGGUGACCCCAAGCGUAGUAAUUCUUCUCGCUUUAGGUGUGUCACGGCUGACGUCUUGCCGUUAAACCCCCAAUUUUUUAAAUGGUUGACCUCGGAUCAG